AGAUUUGCAUGGAGGGGCCGUGCCGGGGCGUGUGGGGGCUUAAAAGGGAGUUGGGGUCCCCGGCACAGCCCCAUCGUGGUGGGGACACGGAGCUGGUGGGAUCGCACCAUGGCCUGGGCCCCUCUGCUCCUCGCGCUGCUCGCCCAUGGCUCAGGUUCCCUGGUCCAGGCAGCGCUGACUCAGCCCCAGUCGGUCUCAGUGGAGCCAGGACAGGACGUCCAGAUCACCUGCUCCGGGCUUGGCAGUGGCAGCAAUGUUGGCUGGCACCAGCAGAAGGUGCCUGGCACUGCCCCUGUCACUGUGAUCUAUGGUAACGACAAGAGACCCUCGGGCAUCCCUUCGCGAUUCUCCGGAUCCAGCUCCGGCUCCACGGCCACGUUAACCAUCACUGGGGUCCUGGCCGAGGAUGAGGCCGACUAUUUCUGCGGUGGCUGGGAUGGCAGCAAUUAUGUUCCCACAGUGACAUGAAACAAUAGGGAAGUG